UGAGUAGCCAGGAAGAGCUGAUGAC
rnacentral:piRNA from 1 species